CUAAAAAAACGGGUUUCAAGAUUGCUUACCGUAUGAUCUCAAGAUAAGAAGAUACUCAUCAACAAUAACCAAUGUUAUGUCUACAAAAUCAUACUCAAGCAACACUUCCUCAGAUCUGAAUCUUUAUUAACUAAAAUUUAGGGAUUUCUACAUGGAAAGGAUUCUCAAUCAAGGUACGAGUAGUGAGAUUGUGGCAUGUUCCAGACCGCGAUAAACCAGACAACACCGUCUCCCUUGAAUUAAUUAUUCAAGACGAAAAGGGCGAUCGUAUUCAUGCGACUGUUGGUCGGUCUCUUAUACGUAUGUUCAAACCAAAGAUACAAGAAUUGGGUUUGUACUUUAUGAAGAACUUUGUGGUUGGACCAAAUUAUACGAAACUUAAAUACACGCGGUAUAAAUUGAAGUUGACAUUUACUCAUAAGACGAUUGUAGAGGAAGCAAAUGAUCAUCUUUUUGGUGUGAGUAUCUUCGACUUAAAACCUUAUGAGUAUUUGAUAAACAAAAUUGAUGUUGAAGAAAGUGAACUCUUCGAUGUCAUUGGAGAGGUUAUAAGUUAUGGUGAAGUAGAAUCCCAUAACCAAGGUGAUAAAAAAGCACUUAUAUGAAUGUGGAACUUGAAGAUCAUGAGAGAAAUAAUAUCUCGGCAACAUUUUGGGGAGAAUUCGUUGACCAAAUCUUGCCACAUUUAGAGGGAUCACCCCAUCAGCCGGUCAUAGUUGUUAUGCAGUUGAUAAAAGCUCACAAAUUUCAAGGCAAAUAUUCUGUGCGUAAUACUUGGCAUGUCUCAAAGCUCUGGAUUAACCCGGAUCUUCCUCAAGCUGUUGAUUUUAAGUCCAGAUU